UUCUCCUUCAUGGGAGAUGAUUGAAAGAUGGUUUCGGCUAUCACUUACGGAUGGGCCCCCGGUGCAUUAUCUAUUUGGUGAGGUGACGGCUCACCAAGGCGACAAUACAUAUCCCACCUGAGAGGGUGAUCGGCCACACUGGGACUGAGACACGGCCCACACUCCUACGGGAGGCAGCAGUAGGGAAUCUUCCCCAAUGGACGAAAGUCUGACAGAGCAACGCCCCGUGAGUGAUGAAAGCUUUCUGGUCUUAAAACUCUGUUGUUAGGGAAAAAAAAGUAUGAGAGUAACUGCUCUUACCUUGACGGUACCUAACCAAAAAGCCCCGGCUAACUACGUGCCCCCACCCCCGGUAAUACAUAUGUGGGAAGCGUUUUCCGGAAUUAUUGGGCGUAAAGCGCGCGCACGCGGUUUCUUUAAUCUGAUGUGUAAGCCCACGGCUCAACCCCGGAGGGUCAUUGGAAACUGGGGAAAUUUAGUGCAAAAAAAAGAAACGGAAUUCCCACUGUAUCCGUGAAAUGCGUAAAGAUUUGGAGGAAACCAAUGGCGAAAGGGGCUUUUUUUGUCUCUUACUGACCCUGAGGCGCGAAAAGGUGGGGAGAACACACGAUUAUAAAUCCUGUUUCUUCACCCCCCCAAAAAAUAAUACUAAAGGUUUAA
rnacentral:rRNA from 1 species